UGCGUGUGGCCUGCCGGGCGAAACUAAGUCCGGCGGCUACCCUUCUCGGCGCCCGCGAUCGCCAGAGAGAAGACGAGCGCGGGGUGUAAGGAGAAAUCUUCAGCAGCAGCUCAGGCUGUCUGGAUUGUCAGCACUGUUGUUGUGAGGGUUGUGGAUAAUCUUUCUUAAGGCAAAUGGCAAGGUUACUGUCAAACAUGGUACUAAGAGGCAUCGCCAGUUCCUCUAACAACACAAGGAGCAGGUUGCAUUUGGUCCAUCUUUUCUGAAACGGAUGAAGUUCUUAACCAAGGGAACUGAUGAUUCUGUUGUAAAUGAAGACCUUCCCACGAAUGGUUUUGCUUCUUCUGACACACACCCGACAAAGAUAACCAGUGAUCCUGUUACACAUAAAGACUUUCAGUCGACAAACAAAAGUACUGGCAUCUCUGUACUGGAUAUUGUGCAGC